AACUUAAAAAUAAAUGGACACAAAGGUGCAUGGAGUUGUGGGUGUAUAGCCGAAUGGCACGCCAUGGAGUUGGGUAGAUUUAUGAGCUGAGGGCUUUAAGCUGGUCUGACAUUGCAGAGAUUACUGUAACACCGAAACGGCUAGGCAAGUAGUAGGCGGUGCCUGCAAUUAGACUCAAAUAAAUUGGUUAACAUAAAAGACGUAUAUUUCUUUAAAAAAAAAAACAUUAAUACAAAGCUGAACGUGGCGCACUUUGGUUAUAGUCCUUUUGAAGCUUUAACUUGUUGAGAAUUUCAUGCAAUUUGCGCUGCAGGCAAUAUGAAAGGAAGAAAAUAACAGAAAUUGUUGAACAUCUUAUUAUGCGCUCAAUUUAAGCUAUCAAUACGCUGGCCUGUGGUGCAGCUCAGGCCUGUAACAUGCACUGUAUCGAUGUUGUUCCAAGCGUAAUUGUAAUUGUCAAUGGUGAGUCGCCGGUCGUAUAACGAGCACAGCUUGAUGCAUUUUCGUGGAAAAGCCAGGCGCUAUUCUGACCAAACAAAUGGACAUAAUCAAGAGGCCAACGGCAGGCAGAAGGAUGCGCCCAAAGAAUUGCACAGCAAUUGUGUAAUGAUCAUUCAAUUAAUUGGUCUGCAAUUGAAUAAGUUGUUUUGGUAUCACGCUGUACACUGGCUAUCCAGUCGCGAUUUCACAUUAAGAAAUUUCCAGGAAUUAUAAUUUAACUGCAUGCUUUCAAUUCGCUAAAAUUUUACACUGCCAUCGACCGCGCAAUGCUCUAUUCGCUGUGUAAAAGCCGUUCAAUCAUAUCGAAUGCAGUGUAUUUAAAAUUGUGUCAUUUGCAGAACAUUUAUCUGUAAAAUCCUAUACUCCAUUUUCCCCCUGAGAACAAUGUAGAAAAAGUUAUUUGUUUUAUAUAAUUACAUUACUAGGAAAAAGCCCCGCUUUUUUUCAUGCAUUUCCCGGGAGAAGCUUCUCUAACUCCUUUGUCGUACAAAAUA